GAUCAAGAUGUGUCAGUUCUGGCUGUUGCUGCUACAUCAUCGUCACGUAUUCCCAUACUGAACCAUGCAGUGCAAAGUCUAAUUCUACCAAGAAAUUGGUAGAUAAUCUGGAAAGUUUUCAAAGAGAUCUUUCGGAAAGAGGUUUCACACUCUCUAAUUAUCUGUUAGAGUAGGAGAGGAUUCUCAGAGAACAAUGGAGAACGAAUCGUAUGCCUGUCGCGCUUGGCAAGCUAAAUGAGGGUUUUCCUCUUCCACUCUUCAAUUAUGAGUUUCCUCUAUUAUAUAUAAAACUUUUGCGAAGAUAGUUUGCCCUCUCCCAGUAUAUCAACUGGUUGGUGAUGCAAUUCGUAUUAUUAUUGAAUUCUCCCUCCGUGCUACUGGUGAGGGGGAAUCCCUUUGUCUGAACAAGGAGAAACCCUAUGAUCCUGCUGAUUUCACUUUAGAAUAUUUCUUUAAAUAAUACGUGGUUCAUUGGGUUACUAAGGAUGGUUCGCGUUGGGGUGUUUGCCUGAAUAGAGAAAAGUUAGCGAAGGGUGAGAAAAAACUCAUGGAAGAUGUUGACCAGCAUAGUAAGACCAAACACUUUAUUCUCCUUUCAAGGGAAUGAAGUAUCAUCUCAUUGUUGAAGGUCCUCUUCUUUGGGGUAUUGAUGCGAAUGGAAAUCCAAGCACUGGUUCUGAUGAUUUGCUCAUUGAUCCUAGCAUUUUACCUGUUGUUCUUAAUUAUCGCCCUUGGGAUUUCCACUGGCCUGAUAUGCAGAAAGAGAUGGAGAAGGAGGCUGCUUCUCCUUAGAGGAAGGCAGAGGCUCCUGCUCUGAAGAAGAAGAAACACAAAACUUCCCCUUAUUUUCUGAUAGUUAUUGUGUUUUCGUGUUUAAGGUUGUUUUGUCAAGGGUGAAGUUUAUAUAUUUGUCAAGGGCGGUAUUGCGCCCCA